AACAUGACUUUGAUCUGCGUCCUCAUCUGGACUCUCCUCUGCUGCUGCUUCACAGAGUCCAGAGGACAGAUCACAGUGACUCAGCCUGGAGCAGUGAUCUCUGCUGUGGGAGGAUCUGUGACCAUCAACUGUAGGACCAGUCAGAAUGUUUUUAACUCCAACUUUUUAGCCUGGUACCAACAGAAAGAUGGAGGCAUCCCCAAGCUUCUCAUUUACCUUGCUAGCAACCAAUAUUCAGGGAUUCCAGAUCGUUUUACAGGCAGUGGAUCAAAGUCUGACUUCACUCUGACCAUCAGUGGAGUCCAGGCUGAAGAUGCAGCAGUUUAUUACUGUCUGAGUGAUCAAGAAAUCAACAGUCAAGCUGUGUUCACACAGUGAAAAACAGUCGUACAAAAACCUCCCUCAGUCAGACUGAACAGAAAGUGAACUGACUGCUGCAGCUGGAAGAUACUGCAGAGACUGAUACAGUUCACUGAGGACACACACACACACAAUCACACACACACACACACACACACACUCACACACACACACACAGUGGUUGUUUCAUUUUUCAAUUAACUCUUUUCAUCUUGUCAAGUACCAAGUUGUAUCUCAUAAAUAGAGGUUUGUAUAACAUUUUUAAUAAAAACAAAAUAACAAAAAGACA